ensembl:lncRNA
GGGGUUUCCUUUUCACCUCAGACUUGAAGCAGGUGCGUCUCUAUCUGUGCCUUAAUUUAUAGAACUGGGGGUUCUGUUCCAAGCAGCUGGGUCAUUUUCCAGCUUCUCCUUGACUGAGGCCCUCGGGAAUCUGUUUUCUCACUGUUCUGGCUCUUCCUCAUUGGCUCCUCUGUCUUGGUCUUUCUGGCCUCAGGCAGAAUUCUCUUUAAAGGAUGGUGAGCAUACAUGUGACACAAGGUCCCCAGCGGCUGCCUUGGUGGUGGGAGGUACUCAGUGCCAAGAUCUUUCCCUCAGUCCUCGGUGGAGCCAAGAUCCAUCCCUCUGUGAUGGGAUCCUCACAUCACCCUCCCCACCUGUUCUCCAACAGGAGGCUGACCCAAUGGACGCAUCCACAGGCUCCUCAGCAGAUAGGAAGAGAGCUCCCCCUGCCCUCCCACCUGCACCUCGGGUGCCUCCAGAUCCACCAACAUCAGGCAACCCUGUGGACUAUAGCCCACCAGGCUCCUCUGUCCGUGGGAUUCUCCAGGCAAGAAUACUGGAGUGAGUUACCAUUUCCUUCUCCAGGGGAUCUUCCCAGUCCAGGGGUUGAACCCAUGUCUCCUGCAUUGGCAGGCAGAGUCUUUACUCUGAGCCACUGGAGAAGCCCUUACCCCUUCUACAUGACGGUGGAUCCAAAGUUGUGGGGCCUGGAACUGAUGCGUUUGUGUUGCCCCUUUCAGAAAAAGAACUCAUUAUUAUGACUAAACACGCCUGGGCCGCUCCAGACCACCAGGCACAGGAAAGGGGACAAGGGAGACUUGAAAUCAGAAUGGGAAGAGACAUGCAUUACCUACUGUCCGUUAAAAUGUGUUCCUUCAAAAAAAAAAAAAAAUGUGUUCCUUCUACAAAUGUCCCAAACAAUGUUAUACCAUGAGCCUUGCCGGGGGCCUGGGAAGGGAGGAGCCUGUGCAAGUGGCCAGCAUGAAGUCCUAUGGACAUCGCUGUGGCCGUGGGGGUCGGGAGGGGUCCCUUGGCUCUGAGGCCCUGUUACCCCACCCCUUCCAGUCCCCAUACCCAGAUCUUAGUACAGAGACACUUCGUGGACAAACACACCUCCUGGUGUCAUCACAAUCAGUUUAUAUUUUCUAGUUUUUCGACAAUAGCAGAUAUUUACAUUUUUUUCCAAAUAAGAAUCCUUACCCCCAGAGGAAAAAUUGUUUGGCGGUCACCGAAGCCCAUGGCAAUCAGUACCACACGAAGGAUGGAACCGAGGAGGAAAAGACUGGAAGGAAAUACACUGAAACUCUACAGGGAGCUUUGUUUGGAUGGUGGCGCCCACGUUGGAAAAAGCCAACAUCUGCAAGUCUCCCCAGACAAUGCUCUCCAGCCUCUCUCUGCCUGUGUCACAUGGCGCUCCAUUCCCAAGCAGAACAAGGGCUCCUGGCCAGAGGUUUACAAGUGUCCUCUCUGCUUCCUCUUGCUGGAUUGGUUUGCUCAAGAAACAUGGGGCAGGAGACAGAGAUGAAGGGUCAGGUCAGGGACCUCCACAGACGGUACCAUACCCUCCGGGAGGAGUAACUAGGGAGAUGAUGAAGAAUCUUCCUCUCUUGGUCUUGGUCUUGCUUGUUGUUCAGUGGCUCAGUCGUGUCUGACUCUUUGCGACCUCAUGGACUGCAGCACGCCAGGCACCUCCAUCCUACCUUAUCUCCCAGAGCUUGCUCAAACUCAUGUCCAUUGAGUUGAUGAUGCCAUCCAACCAUCUCAUCCUCUGCUGCCCCCUUCUCCUCCUGCCUUCAAUCUUUCCCAGCAUCAGUGUCUUUUCCAAUGAGUUGGCUCUUCGCAUCAGGUGGCCAAAGUAUUGGAGCUUCAUCUUCAGUAUCAUUACUUUCAAUGAAUAUUCAGAGUUGGUUUCCUUUAGGAUGGACUGGUUUGAUCUCCUUGUAGUCCAAAGGACCCUCAAGAGUCUUCCCCAGCACCACAGUUUGACAGCAUCGAUUCUUUGAUCCUGCUUACAGGAAGAAAAAAUACUCCCCAUACUUCAUAAUAACAGGCCAGACUUAUGUGAGUUUGGGGGAUGAUUUUGUCUCACUUUUGUGGUCCAGAAGUUAAUUUGAACCACAAAAGUUAGUUUGAAGUAGACCUUCAUGCAAGAGCCAGACAGAAGUGAAUACAAAUAUCUCUGGAAGAGGUGCUUUCAACCCAGGCCUCAGAGAGUUCCCUGAGACAAAGAUCACUGAUCAUGAGCUCACAAACAAACUCAGAAGUGAAAUCACAGAAUACAUGAGCAGACAAGGCACGAGGAAAGCUGAAUGAGCAUAGACAACAAACAGCAAAUCCAAACCUACUGACACAGUAAUGGACUUGUUGGGGAGAAACGAGAAAAUAGGAAUGUAGCCCUUUUGCUGCCUCACAUCUAGGAUCAUCCUCACCAUCUUUCUAAUUCCAUAUACAUGCCUUCAUAUGCAGAAUCAGUGUUUCUCUUUCUGAUUUACUUCACUCUGUGUAAUAGGCUCCAGUUUCAUCCACCUCAUUAGAACUGACUCAAAUGUGUCCUUUUUCUAGCUGAGUAAUAUUCCAUUGGGUACAUGUACCACAACUUCCCUAUCCAUUCAUCUUUCAAUGGACAUAUCUAGGCUGCUCAGGAUGGGGGGACACAUGUGCACCCAUGGCAGAUUCAUGCUGGUGUAUGAUAAAAACCAUCACAAUAUUGUAAAGUAAUUAUCCUCCAAUUAAAAUAAAUUAACUAAUUAAAAAAUAGGAAUGUAAGAA